rnacentral:rRNA from 1 species
AUACGUAGGGGACGAGCGUUGUCCGGAAUUACUGGGCGUAAAGGGCGCGCAGGCGGAUAUUUAAGUCAGCUGUAAAAGGCAUGAGCUCAACUCAUGUAUGCGGUUGAAACUGGGUAUCUAGAGUGCUGGAGAGGUAGGCGGAAUUCCCGGGGUAGCGGAGAAAUGCGUAGAUAUCGGGAAGAACACCAGUGGCGAAGGCGGCUUACUGGCCAGCAACUGACGCUGAGGCGCGAAAGCCAGGGGAGCGAACGGGAUUAGAUACCCCGGUAGUCCUGGCCGUAAACGAUGAAUGCUAGGUGUGGGUGUCGAGAGGCAUCCGUGCCGGAGUUAACGCGAUAAGCAUUCCGCCUGGGGAGUACGAUCGCAAGAUUGAAACUUAAAGGAAUUGACGGGG